rnacentral:rRNA from 1 species
CAGUAGCCGCGGUAAUACGUAUGUCACAAGCGUUAUCCGGAUUUAUUGGGCGUAAAGCGCGUCUAGGUGGUUAUGUAAGUCUGAUGUGAAAAUGCAGGGCUCAACUCUGUAUUGCGUUGGAAACUGUGUAACUAGAGUACUGGAGAGGUAAGCGGAACUACAAGUGUAGAGGUGAAAUUCGUAGAUAUUUGUAGGAAUGCCGAUGGGGAAGCCAGCUUACUGGACAGAUACUGACGCUAAAGCGCGAAAGCGUGGGUAGCAAACAGGAUUAGAUACCCCUGUAGUCCCUGUCUCUUAUACA